rnacentral:lncRNA from 13 species
AGGGACAGCUCAGGGGCCUGAGCGAGGAGGAGAGGCAGAAAAGAGGCUGGUGGCAUCCGGAAAAUGACAGCAAGUGACCACCAGGCAGGCUUGGGGACCAGGGUCGUGAGUGGAUUUAGGACCAGAUCAGCAGCUGGGGCACCGGUUCAGCGGCACACUCACCCUGAAGGUAGUGUGUGGAAUCCUCCAGAUCCCCUGGACCUGGGAGGCCCGCGUGGAGAAAUUGGACACCCUAGAGGCCCUGGACUCUGGAUCCUGGCAGACAGCCUCCCAGCCUCACCCACAUGUGCCAGCUGGAACAGGAUCGAGCAGCCCCAGUUACCUGCUGCUCAUGCUACUUUCUAGGACUUCCUGGGAACUGUGUGCCCUUUUCGUUCUCCCAGGGUGUAUCUCCUUCCGGUGCAGGGGCUCUGGACAGCCGAGGUUGGUGGCAUCCCCACCCUGGUAUUCACACAGAUGGUGCUCUUCAUGGUGAUGUCAUUAGAAACGACGUUUCUGCCAUUGUCCAGGCUGGCUUCAGCAAAGAACUCUCUAAAGCACAGAAAGCAAAGAUGGUGAGAGCCAGUCCGGAAGAUGCAGUUCUUGCCCUUGAGUCCAUUGGCUUAACUCUGAAAGGCGACCUGGAGUGAAGGAACCAUUCUUUGGGCAAUCAUCUCCUGAAUCCUGCCCUCCUCACAGACACUGGGACACUGCAGAUCCCUCAACACCUUGAGGCCACCAACAAGGGAGGUAAGCAGUGUGUGCUUAGCCUAGCUGCAGACACAUGCUGCCCCAGCACGGGGGGCAUCCGCAUUCUGUACACCUCACGGUGCCCAGCCCUGUCCCCUGGCCUCCUGCCCUCUAGGGCCUUCUGCCAAGGAUACUUACUGUCCAGAUUUUUCUAUCUUUGGUCCAGGAAAGUCAUGAAAGUCUUGUCCAUACUGAUUUUUUUUUUUUUCUAAAAGUAAAUGACAUGAGAAGACUGUCAAUGCACAUGUUCAUCCACUGUCCCUCCUGCCUCCAGUCCUCAUUACACAGAGCUGACCCUGUGGCCCAUGACUGGCAUCUGCGCUCUGCUUUCCUAUUGCAGAGACCCCGUGAGCACCCGCCACGCCCAGGCCCUGUGCAUCACUCCUCUAUGUAACAGGAGCAGGCAUGCAGAGUCCCUGCUCUCAAAAGACUCAUCUUUAGGGACUGCAUGGGAGACAGAAGACAAAAUUGAAAAUAGAAAACAGAGAUGGUAGAGUGCAGCGUGCUGUAACGUCCAUGAGCAGAGGGAAGGAGAGGCAUGGAGGGGAAGGGACAGCUGCUUCGUCACAGGCCACCAGGAGCAUUCGUGUGAUGCUCCACAGUUUCUUCAAUCCCAUUUCAUUUUCUUCUUCUUCCAUCAUAUUUAAGCAAAGUUAAAUUUAUUGUGCUGUAGUUGAAAAUGUUAACAGCACUUGUCUUUGAGUUGGGAUUUUGGGGUAAUGAUUUAAUUUAUU